GACAGGACAUAUGCAAAAUCAUUUUACUGUAGCAAAAACAUGGGAAAGAUGACUUGGAAGAAAGGACACCAGCCAGAGGUUCUGUUUCUUCCACUCACCUGCUGCAAACUGUGGGCUGAUGGACUGCCCCCAGAAGCUAUUUUAAGGACGUUGAGAAGAGACGCAAGAGGGCAGGAUCUAACCAGAAGUCUGGGUGGGCCGGGCAGGCCUCCCAGCAGUGCCCGAACACCACGGAGGAGAGGAUCGCGCUGCCCRGUCUUCCUCUGGUCACCGUCCCCAGCAGCCUCUAGUACCAGACCUCCGGGCUACGCCUGGGAGAGAGCCCUGCCUCCGCCGGAGCGGCGUUCCCCUUGCAGCCCUGCGGAAAGGCUCUUGCUCGUCUGUUACGACAGGAAACGUUUUGAAAUGUGA
rnacentral:lncRNA from 1 species